GUCUACAGCCAUGCUACCCUGAACGUGCCCAAUCUCGUCUGAUCUUGGAAGCUAAGCAGGGUCAGGCCUGGUUAGUACUUGGAUGGGAGACCACCUAGGAAUACCAGGUGCUGUAGGUG
rnacentral:rRNA from 1 species